rnacentral:rRNA from 1 species
GUCCACGCCGUAAACGAUGGGCACUAGGUACUUGGGGGAGCGACCCUCUGAGGGCCGGCGCUAACGCAUUAAGUGCCCCGCCUGGGGAGUACGGCCGCAAGGCUGAAACUCAAAGGAAUUGACGGGGGCCCGCACAAGCGGUGGAGCAUGUGGUUUAAUUCGACGCAACGCGAAGAACCUUACCUGGGCUUGACAUGCAGAGGAAAGCUGGGGGAAACCUCGGCCCUCCUUCGGGACUUCUGCACAGGUGCUGCAUGGCUGUCGU